UACUUGAUGGCGAAGUUGGUUAUCGUGUACGUCUUGUAUACGGAAAGUUCCCAGUUCGAACCUGGGUCGACUCA